CAAAUUUGAAUCAUCUAUUGAUAACAUUCAAGGCCAGGACAUCAAUUCAACUAAAGUGUUUUGUAUACUCUGUACAUUCUUGUCUUCCUAUUCUGUUUUAGGAUGUAUUUUUCUCUGUCUAGUUCUGGUGGUUGUGUUCUCUAUUUAGUUGGUAGCUUUCUCUAUUUAUUUUUUAUUUGAUUGUAGUUGAACUAAACUUGUUGUACCAAUGGUUCUCACCCUUCUCACGUAAUAACAUUUCUUGUCCUUUCUUUUUGAUAAUUGAAGUGUGAUUUUAUAACAAGAUAUGAAAACUAUUACUGGCAUCCCAAGGAGAGGCAUGAGGUGCAACCUCUCCUUAAAAGAAAAUUACAGAUCAAACAAUAGGGAAUAGAUUACACUGCAGCCCGGUACAAAUUUUCCCUUUUAACCCCUUGUUUGGCAAGACAAUCAGCCAAGGCAUUCACCGAUAAUAGUUUUGUCCUCUGUUACUGAUAAAAGAAUACCAUUGAUAUUUUUUAUAUGUGCAAGUACUCAUUUAUACCAUGGUUCAUAUAUAAAAUGGUAAAACAUCUCCCUAUUGAUUAAUAUGAAUGGAUUUGGUUAAUAGUUUUGGGUGCUGGUGCUUCCAAAGACUUGAUGACUGAAGAGACUCCCACUUGCCAAAACUGCUUAUACAGCUUAUUUAUAUAUAGGUCAUCAAUGCCAAUCUUUAUCACUGGAUUACUAUUUCCAGUGUUAAGACCACAUGACAUGGUUCAUUUCUAUAAUAGUAAGCAAAGUAAAAAGUGUAUACUCUUUUUCUUACUGUUCAAAACAUGCAUAUACUAUUAUUUCAUAAGUGCUGCCAAAGACUUGGUGUAUUUCUAUAAUGCUGGUUUAAUGAAUGGGGUUUAGGGUUAGGAACAUUGUAUUUAGAAACAUUGCUUUGCUAUGUAAAUGGUUAUGGAGAUUCCUCUUUGAGAGAGAAAGGCUGUGGCAUAAUGUAAUAGUAAGAUUCAUGGGCUGGAAAGUAAUGGUUGGAAUGCUAAAGUUGCUCUCCACUCCUCAAUAUGUCCUUGGAAGAUGGGAGAGUUCGUGGAGGUAGGCCGUUGGAAAAAAUCCUUGAAGAUUGAAGCAAAGGAGUUUCUAUUUGAGGAGUAGAAAUUAAAUGGUCAGCUGAGCUUGAAAAUCAGGGAAGCAAAGAAAGGGAUGGUGCUGUUAGAAGGUUUGGGGGUGAUUGAAGGGUUCAAGGAGUUUGUGGAAGAUGCAAGUAACAAAGGCAAACAAAAUAGUUGGAAAGAGUUUCUCUCAGAAACUGGAAGGUUUGUAGUAGAGUGUAAUAGAAACACCAAAGGCUUUUUCAUUUAUUUGACAGAAUUUUUUGGCAAGGGUAGGAAGCAGAUGGUCUACUUCCCAGAGGGAAGGAAAAGUCAGGGCUGGAAGGCAGUUCAUGGGGUAUUAUGUGAACUGCUACAACGGUUGGGUGCUAAAAGAGAAGUAACAGAAAAAAGGAAGAUAAGCAGUUCUACUAGUUUGGAGAGCAAUAAUAAGCAAGAGACUCUUAUAGUGACAGAUGGGGCAGGUAAACACAGAAUGGGAGUAAACAUACAGAGAGGAGAUUGGGAAAGUAAACUGAUAGUUAAAGCUUCAGCUCACAUUCUAGAUUGGAGGAAAGUUGCAGAUUUGUUAACAGCAAGCUUGAAGUUGAAGAAUACAUUUAUUUUAACACCCUUUGAGAAAGACAAGGCUUUGCUGGACUUGCUUGAGAAUAGAGUAGAAGUUAAUGCUCUAAAUAUCCAAGCUGAACUUGGGAAACUCACAUUAUCAAGAUGGUGUCCGGGAUCAAACUCCAAAGAUUUCUUUGUUGAAGAUGGAGUGCUGGUGCGUCUCUUAGGCCUUCCUUUUCACUUGUGGAAGCAAGAAACUGCUGAAGCCAUUGCUCUGAUGUGUGGAGGAUCUCUAGGAGGUGUUUUUUGGGGAGACCUCUUCUCAGCUUCCAUUUUAUUGAAUGAAGUAAAACCUGAGGAGAUUAGAGGUGUGACUGUGCGAGUUGAAGGACAAUUUUACUCAGUGUGGCUGGCUUCAUCCAUUGAAUCUGUGCUUUGGAAAGAGGCUCGUAGGGAGGGAGAUGAGAAGGUUGAAGAAGAAGAACUGCGUGGCAGUAAAGGAUUGGAUGGUUCAAACAAGAAUAGCACUUUUACUAAAAUGGAAAAACAAGUGCUGGAGAAACAAAAAGGUAGAAUUCAGGGGGAGGGUCUUAUGCGUGUAGAAGCAAUAAACAGUCUAGAGGGCGGCAGGUCCUUUGCACAGGUGGUAACUGGCGCCAAUAUGCCUAUUUUAAACAAGGAGAAGGUGUUGGUUCAGGGAAGAACCGAACCUAGGCUUGAUAAAACCAAACCGGGCCUUGGGCUGAACGUGCAUGACCUUUUUAAAAGUCACGUGAAGCCGCAGAUAUUUAAGAAAGGGACAAGUGAUAAGCCAAAGCCCAUGUUGAAAGGCCAAGUGGGCUUUGAGCGCUUUAAAGAAGGCCCUAAAAUUUCAGGGGCAGAGGCUUUAGUUGGGCCCACAAAAAUCAGGCCCACCUAUGGCGGGUAAGACAGGAAGCCCAGUUUAGAGGCCCAACCCAAAAGGUCAUGACUUAAAAAGGCACGUGACCAACCAUGUGCCUUCGAUAGAUGGUAAUUACUAUCUAUCUUCUUCUUCGAGUGCAACGAACCGUGCAACAGGGAGCUUGAACUCGGCGCGCUAUGGAGCUUCGAAACAGUGGGUUCCGGCAAUAAGAUUAGAGCAGUCAUUGCCUGAAAAACGCUAUCCAAGGUGUAUUAAACGAAGGGAGUUAGAGGAAAGAAAGAGGGAGCUCUCUCAGUUUGAAGUUUUUAGCGAUUCUGAAUCGGAUGAUUCUGAAAGUCUGGGCAGCAUCGAUCUUAGCAGAUCAAAGGAUAUUUCUGAAGAAGAUAACCUUGGAACGGAAGUAUUGUUCCUGGAGGAGGAGGGAGGUGAUUAUCAGAGUUUUGAGGGAGGCUUGAAGAUUUCGAUGGAACGGCAGAAGACAGCUACGGUUGGGACUCAGAUUCUGUCUACACUGGCAAGGGAGAUUAACUCCUUAGCGUAGGAAGAACAGGUUAUGUGUUUGGAAAGGAAAGACUCUACCGGACUGCUCUGUGAUGUAUCGCCUAUAGCCAGACAGCAGUGGAAGACUAACUCAGAUGCGGAAGUUGACAAGUUGCUGAUCUCCUAUGAUAAUUCUUCUAAGCAGAUCAGACCUCAGGAGACAGAUUUAGACUUAUAUCUCGAUGCCGGUUCUGACCCCCUGAAAGAGUUUCAUUUGGCUCCUAACAAUGAAGAUGCUGAUCGGGACAAGCUUUCCCAGUCCAGUGGAAAAUAUGCACAGUACUUGUGCAAGAUAUUAGAUGUUUACUUCUCAUAUCAC